UGUCAGCAGAUGAGACGUAAAACAGUCUGGACUUACCAUAAAUCAGAGGGGCGACCUCGUAAAAAGCGUA
rnacentral:ncRNA from 1 species